rnacentral:rRNA from 1 species
CCUACGGGAGGCAGCAGUGAGGAAUAUUGGUCAAUGGACGAGAGUCUGAACCAGCCAAGUCGCGUGAAGGAUGACUGUCCUAUGGGUUGUAAACCUCUUUUAUCAAGGAAUAAAACGAGGCACGUGUGCCUUUUUGCAUGUACCUUAUGAAUAAGCAUCGGCUAACUCCGUGCCAGCAGCCGCGGUAAUACGGAGGAUCCGAGCGUUAUCCGGAUUUAUUGGGUUUAAAGGGUGCGUAGGCGGAAUGCCAAGUCAGCGGUCAAAUCGCGGGGCUCAACCUCGCUCCGCCGUUGAAACUGGCGGUCUUGAGUGGGCGAGAAGUAUGCGGAAUGCGUGGUGUAGCGGUGAAAUGCAUAGAUAUCACGCAGAACUCCGAUUGCGAAGGCAGCAUACCGGCGCCCAACUGACGCUGAAGCACGAAAGCGUGGGUAUCGAACAGGAUUAGAUACCCUUGUAGUC